UUACGGUCAAAUCACGCUGAAACACCGGUUCUCGUACGAUCACCGAAGUUAAGCAGCGUAGAGCCAGGUCAGUACUUAGAUAGGGGACCGCUUGGGAACACCUGGUACUGUAAG
rnacentral:rRNA from 1 species